rnacentral:rRNA from 1 species
GAUGAACGCUGGCGGCGUGCCUAAUACAUGCAAGUCGAGCGAACAGACGAGGAGCUUGCUCCUCUGACGUUAGCGGCGGACGGGUGAGUAACACGUGGAUAACCUACCUAUAAGACUGGGAUAACUUCGGGAAACCGGAGCUAAUACCGGAUAAUAUAUUGAACCGCAUGGUUCAAUAGUGAAAGACGGUUUUGCUGUCACUUAUAGAUGGAUCCGCGCCGCAUUAGCUAGUUGGUAAGGUAACGGCUUACCAAGGCAACGAUGCGUAGCCGACCUGGGAGGGGAGUCGGGCACACUGGAACGUAGAACAGGUCCCGACCCCUACGGGAAGGAGCAGGAGGGAAUCCUCCGCAAUGGGCGAAAGCCUGACGGAGCAAAGCCGCGUGAGUGAUGAAGGUCUUCGGAUCGUAAAACUCUGUUAUUAGGGAAGAACAAAUGUGUAAGUAACUAUGCACGUCUUGACGGUACCUAAUCAGAAAGCCACGGCUAACUACGUG